GACUCGGCGUACCGCUCAGUAACACGUGGGUAACCUGCCCUAUGCUGGGGGAUAACCUCGGGAAACUGAGAAUAAUACCCCAUAGUUCACCACGCCUGGAACGGUGGGUGGAUCAAAGCCCCGGCGGCAUAGGAUGGGCCUGCGGCGUAUCAGGUUGUAGGGGGUGUAAUGUACCCUCUAGCCCUCUACGCGUACGGGUGUUGAGAGACAUAGCCCGGAGAUGGAUUCUGAGACACGAAUCCAGACCCUACGGGGUGCAGCAGGCGCGAAAACUUGGCAAUGCGAGAAAUCGUGACCAGGGAACUCCAAGUGCAUCGGGUAAGACCGAUGCUUUUCUUGACUCUUCAAAGGUCUUGGAAUAAGGGGUGGGUAAGGACGGUGCCAGCCGCCGCGGUAAUACCGGCGCCCCAAGUGGUAGUCGCUUUUAUUGGGCCUAAAACGUCCGUA
rnacentral:rRNA from 1 species